GAUGAACGCUGGCGGCGUGCCUAAUACAUGCAAGUCGAGCGAACAGAUGAGGAGCUUGCUCCUCUGACGUUAGCGGCGGACGGGUGAGUAACACGUGGAUAACCUACCUAUCAGACUGGGAUAACUUCGGGAAACCGGAGCUAAUACCGGAUAAUAUAUUGAACCGCAUGGUUCAAUAGUGAAAGACGGUUUUGCUGUCACUUAUAGAUGGAUCCGCGCCGCAUUAGCUAGUUGGUAAGGUAACGGCUUACCAAGGCAACGAUGCGUAGCCGACCUGAGAGGGGGAUCGGCCACACUGGAACUUGGACACGGUCCAGACUCCUACGGGAGGCAGCAGUAGGGAAUCUUCCGCAAUGGGCGAAAGCCUGACGGAGCAACGCCGCGUGAGUGAUGAAGGUCUUCGGAUCGUAAAACUCUGUUAUUAGGGAAGAACAAAUGUGUAAGUAACUAUGCACGUCUUGACGGUACCUAAUCAGAAAGCCACGGCUAACUACGUG
rnacentral:rRNA from 1 species